AGGAAACCCGCCAGCUCAUGCUGAGAGCACCCACCCAAGGCAAGAUCUGUGGUCUGCGCCAGUACUCUGACUCAGGAGGUUCCACUUGUAACCAAUGAACUUUGAGGUAGUUGUCUGCAAAGCAGACAGUGUUUUCUGUCCAGCUGGUGUCUGGCUCCCCAGGUUCUGGGGGACAUCCAGAGCAUUCCGAUGUGUAUCAUCCCUGAAGUAUGGACUGACAAAGCACCACCCCCCAGGGGGCUCAGAGGAACAAUGGAAGUUUUGGGGUUUCUCAGGUUGGAAGCAGGCGGCACUGUGGUGACUCUGACCCUGUUUGUGGCUCUCUUGGCCCUCCUGAAAUGGUGAGUGCCCUGGAGCCUGUGGUGCCAGGUGGGGUGUUCGGGCAUGUGUUUUUCUUCUUGUCUAAUCUAGA
rnacentral:lncRNA from 1 species